GACGAACGCUGGCGGCGUGCUUAACACAUGCAAGUCGAGCGAGGCCCCACCUUCGGGUGGGUGUCCUAGCGGCGAACGGGUGAGUAACACGUGGGCAACCUGCCCCUAGCACUGGGAUAACGCCGGGAAACCGGGGCUAAUACCGGAUACGACCUCGGAAGGCAUCUUUUGAGGUGGAAAGGGUUACUGGCUAGGGAUGGGCCCGCGGCAUAGCAGCUUGUGGCUGGGGUAACGGCCUAUCAAGGCUCCGACGGGUAGCCGGCAUGAGAGGGCGACCGGCCACACUGGGACUGAGACACGGCCCAGACGCCUACGGGAGGCAGCAGUGGGGAAUAUUGCACAAUGGGCGAAAGCCUGAUGCAGCGACGCCGCGUGAGGGAUGACGGCCUUCGGGUUGUAAACCUCUUUCAGCAGGGACGAAGCGCAAGUGACGGUACCUGCAGAAGAAGCACCGGCCAACUAUGUGCCAGCCGCCGCCGUAACAC
rnacentral:rRNA from 1 species